CCUACGUGAGGCUGCAGUGGGGAAUAUUGGGCAAUGGAGGCAACUCUGACCCAGCAACGCCGCGUGAGUGAUGAAGGUCUUCGGAUUGUAAAACUCUUUAAGUGGGGACGAAGAAAGUGACUGUACCCACAGAAUAAGCCUCGGCUAACUACGUGCCAGCAGCCGCGGUAAUACGUAGGAGGCAAGCGUUAUCCGGCUUUACUGGGUGUAAAGGGAGCGUAGACGGCAGCACAAGUCUGGAGUGAAAUCCCGGGGCUUAACCCCGGAACUGCUUUGGAAACUGUGCGGCUGGAGUGCAGGAGGGGUAAGCGGAAGUCCUAGUGUAGCGGUGAAAUGCGUAGAUGUUAGGAGGAACACCGGUGGCGAAGGCGGCUUACUGGACUGUAACUGACGUUGAGGCUCGAAAGCGUGGGGAGCAAACAGGAUUAGAUACCCCAGUAGUC
rnacentral:rRNA from 1 species